AGCGAACGCUGGCGGCAGGCCUAACACAUGCAAGUCGAACGAACCUUUCGGGGUUAGUGGCGGACGGGUGAGUAACACGUGGGAACGUGCCUUUAGGUUCGGAAUAACUCAGGGAAACUUGUGCUAAUACCGAAUGUGCCCUUCGGGGGAAAGAUUAAUCGCCUUUAGAGCGGCCCGCGUCUGUUUAGCUAGUUGGUUGAGGUAAUGGCUCACCAAGGCGACGAUCAGUAGCUGGUCUGAGAGGAUGAUCAGCCACAUUGGGACUGAGACACGGCCCAAACUCCUACGGGAGGCAGCAGUGGGGAAUCUUGCGCAAUGGGCGAAAGCCUGACGCAGCCAGGCCGCGUGAAUGAUGAAGGUCUUAGGAUUGUAAAAUUCUUUCACCGGGGACGAUAAUGACGGUACCCGGAGAAGAAGCCCCGGCUAACUUCGUG
rnacentral:rRNA from 1 species